rnacentral:piRNA from 1 species
AGAGAAUUAAGUGGGGCAGUAGAGAAGGC